UUUGUCAAAAGUAAAAGGUGAUGGUCUUAGUUGAGGAAUUGUGCAAAACCCAUGUACCCUCCCACUAGCAUGUUGUUGUUAAAAUGUUGUUGUUAGGUGCCAUUAAUUCAUUCCGAUUCAUAGUGACCCUAUGUACUACAAAACAGUUGAAACACUGCCCAGUCCUAUUCCAUCCUCACAAUUGUUGCUUUGUUUGAGCCCAUUGAUACAGUCACUGUGUCAAUCCAUCUCACUGGGGGUCCUCCUCUUUUUCCCUGAGUCUCUGCUUCACCAAGCAUGAUGUCCUUCUCCAGGUACUGGUCCCUCCUGAUAACAUGUCCAAAGUACAUGAGAUGAAGUGUCACCAUUCUUGCCUCUGAGGGACAUUUUGGCUGUGCUUCCUCCAAGACAGAUUUGUUCGUUCUUCUGGCGGUCCAAGGUAUAUUCAAUAUUCUUCACCAACACUGUAACUCAAAAGCAUCGAUUCUUCUUUUAUUUUCAUUGUUCAUUGUCCAGCUUUCCCAUGCAUUUGAGGCAACUGAAAAUCUAUCAUAGCUUCCUGCAGAUCUUUCAUGGUUGUUGAGUUACUUCCUUUCCCUCAGUGCUUUCAGUUUCAUGUUGCUCUAAUUCUGCGGAAAAGGUUGCUUUAUUUACUUACUUCCUUCCUUAUUCUUGAGUAAGUCCUGAAAGCCCCAGGUUUUUGGAGGGGUGAAAUAAAAGUCCCAGGAUCCAGAGAGAGACUGAGAAGGAAGAGAAAUCUCUCCAUCAAUACUGUGGAGGAAAAAACAGACUGAACAGGUGAGUUAAAUGGGGAUGUGUUGGGAAUCACCACCUCUGCAUCCUUCAAGUCCUUGAUGGUGGCAGUGAUCUCUGCAAUCCCUCCAGGAAUGUGUAUACCAACGUAGAUCUGCUACUUCACCUCGAUAGGCUUCCAUAAUCCAGACUUCAGUAAAUCAAGCAAAUAAACUAUUAGACCCUUUUCUAAUCUCUGGAGCUGAAACCUCUCAAGCUAUUGAAUGAAGAAUUUGUGCUUAGUGGGCCCAUAUCAAUAAACUCACACUGAUUCAACUUUAUGUUUCUUGCACCAUUACCCCACACCCAAUACCAAUUCCCACAUAUAUUCCCCAGGUUUCUGUUUGUAUAUACUAGAAAACUCAAGCAGUUCUUUUGGAGUGUAGCAUGCCUCCUCCUGAGUCACAUUGUACUUCAGCUUUCGGGGCUAACAGGGACUUAUGUCUAUUUAUAGGUCUAGAAGCAAAAAUGAGUGGUGGCAAUGUGUUUUAAGAACAUUUAGCAAUCAAUGUCUUGCAAGGGAUUUGCCUCAUGAGAUGCCCCAGGCAAUGACUCAUAUUGCCCCAGGUGAUGUGCCCAAAAAAGACUUUUCAGAUAUAGCUGGGUUAAUGGCAUCAAAUGGGGGUGGAAGUGCUAAUGGUUUUGUUGGCACUGGUGAUUUAAUGGAAUUUAGAGGCUCUGUGUCCCCAGCUUUCUGAUUAUCUGCCCAUAUGUCCCUAUCCCAAUUUCAGGAUCACAUUUCUUCCUAAUUAAUGCCCUCAUUAUAAUUUCUGACUCCAUUUGAGGUUGGGGAUUCAAUUGGCAUUAUAAUUCAGCCACUCAUACGGUAAGACUCUGGGUUUGCUUUCCGCCAUAUCAGCUCUCUUACUACAAGAAAUGAGAUUUUCUUUCAGGGCACAAGUGGCAAUUUUGGGAUCAUUUAUGUGGCUCUUGAGCUUUGACUCUGUAGCCAUGAGCUCAUCCUUCUUUCACCACUUUGUCUAGGGAAAGUAGAGCCAGCCAAUCAGCUUCCUUAUACUUCUCAUUCCGACAAAAUCAUGGAAAAGUAUCAAACAUGCCAUCACACAGAGCCUCACUUCUCACCAAAACCUAAUCUACUGGUGGUGAUAUUUUGAGUAUUUUUAUUGCCACCUCAUACCAUGGACUAGCAAUUCCUUCUUUACUACUGGAAGUAGAGUCAUCAACAUCUUUCAAACUAACCAGACUUGAGAACAAAUCCGGAAAAAUCAUCCUUACAAUUUUGUUUCUCUAGAACUACUCUCAGCACCAAAUGUCUUAGGCUGGGUUCUUUACGGAAGCAAAACCAACAUAUAUACGUUCUUUGUUAUUAGGCGCCGUCAAGUCAGCUCUGACUUAUAGUGACCCUGCGUACAAGAGAAUGUUACACUGCCCGUUCCUGUGCCACCCUCACAAUCUUUGCUAUGCUUGAGCCCAUCGUUGCGGCCACAGUGCCAAUCCAUCUCAUUGAGGGUCUUCCUCUUUUUCUCUGACCUUCCACUUUACCAAGUGUGAUGUCCUCCAGGGACUAGUUCCUCUGGAUAACAUGUCCAAAUUAUGUGAGACAGAGUCUCACCCUCCUUGCUCUAAGGAGCAUUCUGGUUGUACUUCCUCCAAUACAGACUUGUUCAUUCUUCAGGCAGUCCAUGGUAUAUUCAAUAUUCUUUGCCAAUGCCACAAUUCAAAGGUAGGUGUGUGUGUGUGUGUGUAUAGAAAGAUAGAGAUUUAUAUCAAGGAAACAGCUCAUGCGUCUGUAGAGGCUGGAAAGUCCCAAAUUCAUGGGUCAGGCUGAAGGCUGAAGACUGAAGGCUUCUCCUGACUUAUGUAGCUGCAGGGGCUGAUGAACCUAAGAUCAGCAGGUAAGAUGGCAGACUCUUGGCUCAAGUCACAAGAACCAGAGGUCAGAUGGUGACAAGCCAGAUGCAGGAUCUAGUGCAGAGCAAAAGCCAGCAAGUUUUGUCAAAAAGUCCAUAUAUACUGGAUGCAGGCCAUACACUCAAAGAAACUCCAUUUCAACCAACCGACUGGAUGCUCAUAGCAAAUCUCGCCAUGGAGGUGAUUACAUCAUUACAUAACUGCCAAACUACAUCGUAACUGCCAAACCACUGAGAAUAUGGCCAGUCAAGUUGACCCACAACCUUAGCCAUCAGAAUAGACCUUAAAAUGAUGACAACCACCUAUUUGUAAUCAUCAUCAUAAGAAGACCCAAUGGUCCAAUUUGAAAAACAGAAGUUUACUUGUAAAUUUACCGUAUAAACUAGCAAUCUCCAAUCUCUUUUUUUUUCUUUCUCAGUCCUUUUAUUGAUUGAUUGUGCUUUAGGUGAAAGUUUACAGAGCAAAUUACUUUCUCAUUCAACAAUUCAUACUCAAAUUGUUUUGUGACACUGGUUGCAAUUCCCACUACGUUUCAACACUCUUUCCUUCCUCACCCUAAAUUUCCCAUUUCCUUCUGUCAAUUUUUCCUGUCCCUUCCUGACUUCUUGUCUUUCCUUUUGGGCAGGACUUGCCCAUUUGAUCUCAUAUACAUGAUUGAACCAAUAAUCACAUUCCUCAGGUGUUAUUGUUGUUUUUCAUAGACCUGUCUAAUCCUUGACUGAAGGGUAAGUUCAGGAAUUACUUCACUUCUGACUUAAAAGGGCAUCCACUGACCAUGGUCUCGGGGAUUCCUCUAGUCUCUUGUCAGAUCAGUAAGUCUGGCCUUUUUUUUUUUUUUUUUGUGAUUGUGAAUUUUGUUCUACAUUUUCCCCCCGCUCUAUCCAAGAAUCUCUAUUGUGAUCCCUGUCAGAGCAGCCUGUGGUAGUAACCAGGCACCAUUUAGUUGUUCUGGACUCAGGCUCCCGGAGGCAGUGGUACUUGUGGCCCAUUAAUCUCUUGGACUGGUAUUUGUGUCUUUGGUUUUAGUCAUUCUCCUUUGCUCCAGAUAGGAUGGAACCAGUGGAAGUUUCUUAGAUGGCUGCUCACAAGCAUUUAAAAUCCCAGACACUAAUCAUCAAAGUUGGAUGUAAAACAUUUGCUUCAUGGGCUAUAUUAUGUCAAUUGACCUAGAUGACCCCCAUGACCACAGGCCCCAGCCCUCAGCACCAGUAGCUCAGUGUCUCAGGGUGUUUGGAUGUGUCUGUGUAUGAACAAAUCAGUCUUGGAAGAAGUACCAUCAGAAUGCUCCUAAGAAGUAAAGAUGGCAAGGCUUCAUCUCAUAUACAACAAGUUAUCUAGUUUACCUUCCGGGGUUUGUGCCUUGCUACUUAUGGUUUGUAUCCUAUUUAUGCUGUGUAUUAUGGCCUCUAGCAUUGUUUCUGUUUUUUCUUCCAUGAUCUUUAUAGUUUUAGAUGUUAUAUUUAGAUCUUUGAUCCAUUUUGAUUUAAUUUUUAUGUAUGAUGUGAGGUAUCAGUCCGUUUCAUUUUUUUCCAGAUGGACAUCCAGUUUUGCCAGAACCAUUUCUUAAAGAGACCAUCAUUUCUCCAUUUAAAGGACCUCGGGCCUUUGUCAAAGAUUAGUUGGCUGUUGGUGGAUGGGUUUAUAUUUGGGUUUUCAAUUCUGUUCCAUUGUUAAUGUGCCUGUUUUGUACCAGUACCAGGCUGUUUUGACUACCAUGGCUCUGUAGAAGGCUCUGAGAGCAGGUAGUGUGUGCCCUCCUACUUUGUUCUUUUUCAAUAGUGCUUUAUUUAUCCAAGGCCUUUUUCUUCCCCAUACAAAGUUAGUGAUUUGUUUUUCCAUCAUGUUAAAGAAUGCUGCUGAUAUUUGGAUUGGGACUGCACUGUAUCUACAAAUUGUUUUGGUUAGAUUUGACAUGUUCACAAUGUUGAGUCUUCCUGUCCAUGAGCAUGGUAUAUUUUUCCAUUUAUGUAGGUUUCUUGCAGUAGCAUUUUCUUUGUACACGUCUUUUACCUCCAAGGUUAGGCUUAUUCCUAAGUAUUUUAUUUUGGGGUGGCUUUUAUUAAAAAUGGUGUUAUUUUCUUGAAUUCCUUUUCAAAAUUUUCUUUGUUGGUGUAUUGGAAUCCAACCGAUUUUGUAUUUUGGUCUUUCCUGCUACUCUGCUGAUUCUUUCUAUUAAUUCCAGUAGUUUUCUCAUGGAAUUUUUGGAAUUUUCUAUGUAUAUAUAUUUCUGUGUGUAGGAUCAUAUUAUCUGUGUUUUCCAUGACUUUGUCAAUUUUUUUCCUUGAUUUUGUCUGUGUUCUCCUUGCUCUCUCUUCUAAUCUCUUGAAGAUCCCUAAAUAUACAUCUUUUGAAUUCAGUAUCUGGUAGUUCCACUGCCUUUUCCUCUACCAGGAGAUCAUCUGAUUCUUUGUUUUGAUCACUUGCCGGAGCCAUCUUGUUGUUCUUUUUUAUAUGUUUUGAUAUUGUCUGCUGUCUUUGAGACAUUAAGGUAUUAUUUUCUUUAUUUAAUAAUUGCAUGUUCAUUUUUUGUUGUUGUUGUUUCAUCCUGCUUUUUUUGUUUUUUUUUUCAAUCUGUCAAGACUUGCAGGUGAAGAGUUUUUUGCUGCCUGCUCAUCUGUGGGCCUGAUAGUUCUCACCCCCUUGUCUGCGUGGGCAGGGUAGAAGCAAACAGGGUGAAUCUGCUUCACUGUGUACUGGUUUGGUAACAUGGCUGAGGGUGGACUGGGCAGGUGGUGUCUGGCUCCUGAUGAUCCCGUGGUAUGGGAAUAUUCACAGCUCCUCACCAGAUACGUGGGGGUGUCAGACAUGGAGUUGCAUGGGCUCUCUUCCCAUAGUUUAGCAGCUGGUCAAGUGGCAGUGGGGGGUGUGGGUUUAUAAGGUGGUGGGCCUCAGCAGCAGGGAAGCUGUAGCUGUGGCAACACACCAGGAACCUAUGGGAAGAGGGGUGGCACACAGGGCUAGGUCACAGGAGGGGGAAAGAAAAGAAAACAGAGAGAAAGAGAGAAAAACGGAAGAGUAGCUGGUGGUGGGUGGGGGUGGGGCAGACCUGGAGGCAGGCGAAAGUGGGGGAGGUGGUGUAUGAGGUUAGGUGGGAGGUAGAAUAGGAAGAAAGGGAAAGAGAAAAAAAUAUUGGAUGGCAGGAGCUGGCAAGUGGGGGCGGGAUGGACCCAGUGUCUCUCUAGCCAAACAGCAUGGUGUGGGCCGUAGGGAAGCAGUGAAGGUGGGGUAUGGGCAUCAUGUAGAGAUAGUCCCAUUUGAUUUCAACCGUCCUUCUAGGCCAUAUGUAUGAGAAUCAAUAUUAUACAGGUGAGAGUUGAAACAACAAAAAAAAGUGACAAUUAAUUUAAAGUGUGUUCAAUGUGAGUUAGAGGAAACGUGUAUAGAAUUCUAGGAUACUAAUAUUUCAAGGACUAUAAGAAAAAAAAGGCAAUUGUGAACCUAGGGAAAAGGCUCAAGAAAAAUUAAUAGCAAGGAUAGAUGGCUGAAGACAGAGUGAUAUAAUGGCAGUUAAGGGAGAAAAUUAUUUCAAGAAUGAGUGUCAAAAAGAUCUUGAGAGUUAACGGAAGUAUUGUACUAUAAAGGAAACUAAUUUGGCAAAUUUGGAACAAGGUUAGUGAUUCUAUUUUACACUGUGUGAGACUCAGCAUCAUUUUUCCUU